UGGAAGAUUGUCCCAGCCUGCAUUUGGUGGACUAUAUGGAUGGAAAGGAACCAGAGAUGUUUCGAAAACAAGAGCUGCUCUCUGCAGAAACUGAAGAUGAACUGUCUAGUCCUUUUUUUUUUUGGUGUAAACACGAAUAUCCUCAAGAAGAAGAGGAUAUUCCUAGUAUUUUAGAUUAUUUAUGAAGCUUAGUAGGGACACCUCUCCCUCUGUAAUUUUAUUGUAAGUAUUAUUGGAAUACUUUUCUGAGUAUUCCUUUUGUACAUAAUACAAGUUACCUUCUUCAAAAAAAAAUGAACAAAUUUGAGAAAUUUAAAGGUAACAACAAAAUUGCCUCCAACCUUACAUGGAUUUUAUAGUAGAGGAAGAAGGAAAUCUAACUGAAGUAGAAAAAGCAAAUAAUAGAAUGCCAAGGAAAAUCAUUUGUAUGGAUGCUUGAAUAGAAAGAAAUCCAAUACAAAUGCCAAAAAGGAUAUGUAUUAAGAGUUGGCAGAAGUGUGAGGAUAGUGGAAGGAUAUAGAGGACCUUACGCUUGAGCUCCUACUUCUUGUAACUAUUAUUACUCUCCCACAAUCUUAUUCUUCAAUUUUGUUGUUACUUGUUGUUUCUUUUUCGUCAAUUAUCGUAUUAUUUGUUGUUGCUACUGUUCGUUUCUCCACUACUAUAUUUCCUUUCAUACCCGGCUUGUUAUGCUUUUCUUGAGCCAAGGGCCUUUUGGAAGUAGCCUCUCUAUCUUCACAAGAUUGGGGUAAGAUCUGUGUACACACCACCUCCCACAGACCCCACUUGUGGGAUUACAAUGGGUAUGUUGUUGUUUGUAAAAUUAGGUCUUAGGCAUAACUCACACCCCAAAAGCUAGCUCAAUGGGAGGACUGCCCAAGUUUUAUAAGGAGUUCACCCAUCUCAUUAACCACCAAUGUGAGACUUUUGUCAUUCUCCAUCACCCGACCUCACGCCCAAUGCUUAGCAUCUGGUGCGUGGGCAAUUUUUAUUUUUUGGGGGGAACCAACAUUGGGUGAGAUGGGCCCUGCUCUGAUACCAUGUUAAAUUAGGUCUUAGGCCUAACUCACACCUCAAAAGCUAAGCUCAAAAGGAGGAAGACUGCUCAAGCCUUAUAAGGAGUCCGCUCAUCUCAUUAACCACCAAUGUGGGACUUCUGUCAUUCUUCAAAAUUGUUGUUAUUGUUGUUGCUGCUCAUUUGUCUAAAAAGCAGGAAAUAUGCGAAAAAGACACAUAAUUUCAUCCAACACGCAAUGAAGAGAUAGUCAGUCCAUUGUUUCCCUGGUAGGUAGAAAGGUGUGAAAAUUGCAAGAGAUGCUCAAAUACUAAUUAUCUGCUAGUCUGCUAGUCUUCUUUCUGGAAGCAAAUUGAACUACUGUGUUUUUAACCACACAAACUAGUAAUUCAGGAAGUGAGAACUUCUUUUGGAGAAUAACUGCACCACAGACUAAGAAAACCAAAUUAUGAUAUCAAAUAAGACUUACCCGCUGCUUCAAUAUCUUGGCACCAAUCAAGGGCAGAAGGAGUGCUUCAGAAGAUUGAAUGCUAGCCUUAACCCGUCCAAGCAGCCUAUCCAAAUCUGGAAUCUUGCGAAGAUAUUGAGCAGUGGAUAAUGUAGCAUCUGAAUUGUCAACAAGUUUGUCAACUACAUCAAGCCUAUGGUUGAUUUUCUCUACAUCUUUGAGGGGAUGACAAAUCCAUUUUCUUAAAAGUCGCUUCCCAGGUAAUGUAACACAGUUAUCCAGAUACAUGUAUAAAGUACCUGAAACGCAAAGAAGAAAAUACAAUUGCCAGAACUGCCCCUUAGAAUGAGUACAGAGCUUUGAUUUGACAAAAAAAUUUGUACUUGCCUGAUGGACUCCCAUUGGCAUUAUUGUUGAAGAUUUCAAGAUUGACAAGCGUCUGUCCAUCCAUUCUGAGGCAACCCUUAUAGACUUCAUAUGAUAGAACAUCACCAUUAUGUAAGACCUCAUCUAACUGUUAAAUUCAGAACAAAAUAUUCACCAAAAUAAUACGAUAAGUAUUACACACAGAAAACAGGCCAUGCUUCUGAGACUUACCAUCAAUCGCUCUAAAUGAUUAACAAGAAUCCCAAGAGCACAUAAAGCAACAUCAUGGUUCUCUCCAUCAAAGGUGUGAUCCCACUUAUUACAAGAUCUUUUAAAGUAACCUUUCAAGUCGAGGAAAUUUUUCACUUCUGCAGGAUCAACAAAAUCUGCACCUGGCUGAACUGGAGAUAGGAGUGGUGCUGCAGGACCUAAAUGGACAAAGAAUAUUUAUCAAGAGAUCUAAGAAAGUGAAAACUCUACCCUCCCCCACCCCCAGCUUUUUCUUUUUGCUCAACUUCUCCUUUUUCUUUUCCUAUUCUUUUCUUGAUUGCCCCAUGUAAAUCAAAAAUGAUACUGUCAAUGAGUUUAUAGCAGAAUUCACGGGGAAGAAAUUCAUCCACAUGUCAGCAUUUUAGAAAUGCAGAAACAAAAUAAAACUCAGGAUUUGUUUAUCAAAGAGAUCUGAUGAAGUGACCACUCCAUCAACACCAUCAUCCCUCCUCUCUAUUCCUAAGGCUCAUUUCUUAUCGUUUCUUAAAAUUUCUGAAGUUGGAAGCACCCAUUUCUGAAAAGCAGUUUCAGCCCUAGAGACUUGCAACAAGAAAAUAAUUAGGCAUAGAAGUGCAAUUUAAAUUUAGAGAUCUUAGGGGCCGUUUGGUUGUUGGUUAGAGUUAUGCAGGUAUUAGUAAUAUAUCUAUUAGUUAUGCAGGUAUUAGUAAUGUAGGUAUUAGUUAUGCAGGUAUUAAUUAUGCAGGUAUUAAUUAUGCAGGGUUAAAUAAUUUCUUUGGGUGUUGAUUUGUUAUAUUGAAAAUUAAUAAAAAUUAUAUAUUUCUUAAAAAUAAAAUAUUUAUUUACAAUUAUACCCUUGACCUUUCUUACCUUUGUAUUUCUUUUUUCUUUUUUCUUUUUGCAUUUUGUUUAGGCAAAAUUAUAGAAAGGAAUUGGGUGUCACAUUUUUCAACUUCCUCAUAUAGUUGAACCAACGUGUAUAUAUAUAAAUAAGUUUGUUCUUUCUUUUUCAUAGAGAAUGUCAUGGCUUUUUUUCAGACCAAUGCUUCCGGCCAUAUUUAUAAAAGUAAUCCGUGGAAGCUCUCAGAUAAUGAAGAAAAACAUCUUGUUAGCUGUCAGCAACUUCCCAGUUGAUUGCCUUCUUGUAUUGCCUCCAUUGUAAGAUGAAGUAGAGGAGGAGUCAUUCUAGAUCUAGAAAUGCGCAAGGAGGAUCUGAAUGUCUCCUAACAAAAGUGGAGUAUAUUUGAUUGAAAGUGAUUAAGGGUAAAGUUGUCAAUUACUAGUAUUAUUAUUUAGGUAUAACUUAUUCCAUCUUCUACCCCCACAUAAAAUAAUACAUAGAUUAACUCAUAAUUUAUACAUGUAUAUGUAUUAGUUAUGUGGUUUUCUAAUUUUCUAACCAAACAUAGUAUUAUGUGUGUUGAAUUUUAUACCUGAUAUAAAAAUGCUACCAAACACGGUAAAGCUUAUGCAACAUUUUAUACUUGAAUAACUCAUCCCUUAUCAAGUAACCAAACAGCCCCUUAAUUCCCACUUUUAUGGUGGAAAAGUCAGAAGAAUUAGCCUAAAUUAGAACUCUAUGUACCCCUCCUCCCCCCGAGCCAAACAAAUAUAUAACAACAAGAAAAGGUUGUGGUUAGCUAUAUGAAUCUUUACUGACCAUGAUUCUCUAUUUCAAUUCAUCUAAGACCACGAUAAUACGGGGAAAAAAUAAAGAGUACUAGAAGUUCUCUAUAAUUUUGUAGCAUCCUAGCACUUUUGGGAUCAAGUUGAACCUUUAAGUUAUUUUCUCCAAUUAUUGUUUUCUUAUUUUAGUCUUUUGGGAUCAUUUUGGACCUUUAAGUUAUUUUCUCCAAUUAUUGUUUUCUUAUUUUAGUUUUUUGAGAUCAUGUUGAACCUUUAAGUUAUUUUCUCCAAUUAUUGUUUUCUUAUUUUAGUAAGUAUAUAUAUAUAUAUAUUUUUUUGCAGCGCAUAGGUUAAUUUAUUAGAUAGGUCAGUUUCUGUCUUCAGGGUCGGUGGCACUGUUAGCUGGCAUAGAAAGACUUAGAAAAUCAAUACUCCCUCUGUCCCAAUUUAUACACUUUUUAUUUUUCAAGAGUCAAACAAUUUAAGUUUGACCGGAAAUUUGUGCAUGGAAUUAUCAAUUUUUAUGAUAUGAAAUUUAUAUCUUUGUAAACUACUUAAAAGUACCAUAAGUCACAAUAAUUGACAAUGCAAAAUAUAUAAAAGAUAUAUGAAAAAUUUACGGUCAAAGAUAGACUUAUUUGAAUCUCGAAAUCCGAAAAGUGUCACAUAAAUGGGGACAGAGGGAGUAUUAUGUUAAAUCGAGAGACAGUGUGUGAGAGUGAGAGAGAGAAAGAGAGUCUAUAUAUACAUAAAGAUACCUAUACACUUAAUUAGAAGUAUUAUUUACGUAUGUAUAAUAUAAAUUAUAAGAAGAGAGACAUACAUAUAAUGAAAAAGUUUAUGCACUAAGCCCAAAUCACUAUUACGGACUAUAAGUUUAUGAUCUUGCAAUGGAAUUAAGUUGACAUGUUUGGUCGAUAAGUCAGCGACAUAAUAGGUCUUGAUUGUCUUCUUGUACAGGAAUUAAGGGAAUGAACAAAGCUGAAAAUGCUAUGGAAGUGGGAAUUUUUGUGGGAAAAGGGAACAAUCGUACAACAAACUUAAAGGAUUUUAUGGAAAGGAAACCAAUCAAUUGCUUGGUUACAAUAGCAACCAGUGAAUGAACAAACUAAGCUCUCAAGGCACAGAUUUGUUCAAGCACCACCAUCAACAUAAGGAAUUCAAACUUGGCUACAAUAAGCUUCUAUAGCAACUCAACUCUUCGUUUUUGAGUAUUUGCGUUCCAUUUCAUGUUCAGAGGCCUUGCAUAGGUUGGUAUUUUGUUUGGAACCUGUUGGUAUAGCUUGGGUUGAGACCUGAGGGGUUUGAGUUGGUUUCAGCACAUUUUUGAGCAAAAACUAGUGCUGGUGCAGGUCCGAAGUUGGUGCGCUGGAAUUGCGAAGAACUUGCUCAUGGGCUUGGUCCGCAAUUGCGGAGAAAAGGACCGCAUUUGCGAAGAACCUGGUCCAUGUAUAAGGUCAUAAUUUCAGAAUUUUUCAUUAUUUCACCAUUUUGGACGAACUAGCUAUGAGAUUAAUGGGAUUUAGUUUGGAGACCAUCAUUUUUUUUAAUGACCAUGGUGUCUGAGCCAGCUUUUCCGCACAUCAACUGAUUCCACAAGAUACCUCCCACCACCAUAAGGUACCAGGUAACUCUAUCCACCAAGGCUAGGACAGAUGGGAAGAAUAACCUAAAUUUUAUAUCUCCACUGAGUUUUGAAACUGAGACUCAAGGGUUCUCAAUCACUUACUUCAUUAACCACUGGGCCACACCCUUGGGUGCAACCAUCAUAGAAACUCAAGGUAAUGAUUCUGCACUAACCCAUGAAAACUAUACAUGUUUAUAUUCAAAGUUUAGCCAUUAAAGGAAUUAUUUUUUUUGAUAACCGAGAAAUCCGUCAGUGACCCGCCCUUUGGACCAAUCACAUCCUUCCAAACUUGGUGGAUAAUGGGCCCGCCCCUCUACCCUUCUCCACUUAAAUAUCAGACUUCGUUUUGCAUGGUGUGGGGCUUGAACCUGCGACCUAAGCCACAAAUCCUCCACCUUUUGCCACUCGAGCUAGGCCUUGGGAGCCAUUAAAUUAAGGAAUGUUAUGGUGGAAUUUGGGAGUUUUUGGUCUAAGAUCUAGAAAUGAUAUAAUUGAUUGAGUUGAUAAAUGAAUUCAAAAAACUUGGACUCGUGGGGUAAUCGAUAAACUGGAUAUGAGCUUGGUUCUGAUGUUUGACCAUGUGGGCUCGUGAUUGACUUUUUGGUUUACUUUAACCUAGACUGCAUAUUAGAUUAUAGAAUUGAGUCCAAUGUCAUUAGUUGAAGUGAUUAAAUAUAUAUUUGAAUAGAGUUGAGAUGUUUGGAAGGUUCCGAACGUGGAAAAGUGAUACGACCUGUAACAAAAAGGAAAGAACAAGUGUCCUAAAGAGCAAAUGAACUGAAUUGCUCUUGAACAGAUCACUCGAGAACCCUAAGAGUUCUUACUGAGUUGGAGAGGAGAGAGUUCUUGACUUUGAAUCACCAAUACAAAAUGCUUACAAUUGCUAUAGUAUUCAUUUAUAUGCUGAAUGAAAUAUGGGAGGGAAAGUUAGUUACAAUUAACUUUAGGAAAGGCCAACUAACUGCGCACAUGGGUCGAACGUUGACAACUAAUUGAUCCUGGACAACUUUUCAAACUAAUUGCAGAUGAAAUGAAUAUGGAAGCAAAAUGAGAAAUGAAACCCCACUCUAAUUGUAUCAUAUCUGUUAGAAUGUACAUAGACAUAUUUUCCUAUAGAAUACAUAGCACAAUCUCAACACAAUCAUAGAUAGAGAUAUUUAGGGAUUUUCUGAUUUUGUUUUCCUUAGAUAGAUUAUCUGUUUUCCUUAGAUAGAUUAUAUGUACACCUACAAAUAGCUCUCCUUUUGGAUUAAUAGAAUAAGCAAGAUUGCUCCAUUCUCUCUGUAUUUUACAUGGUAUCAGAGCGGAGUUUCUUUCUGUUUCUUUUUUUGUCUUUUCGAAUCACUGGAGUCGGCCAGUUCAGAAAAUUAUCCGUAAGUAACUUGGUUGGUCACGUUUGCUAUUGGGAGGUACUUGGAACUUGAUAUUCCAAUCUCACAGCCCACCUCACCCGAUCUGUAAGAACCAGAAUCCGGUGGCUGGCAGGGAAGAGUGUGAAGCUCAAGCUCCGGCGAACUAUUCAGGCAACUUCUGCAUACGAGGCACGUGGGGCGUGUGUAAAAUCUGAAUCAGAUCAGAUUUUUUAUUUCCAGUAUCAUCACAAUAUUUCCGGUCAGAUUUUGUGGUCUUUUGUUCAACAGACCUCAGUUGGGUUGAUUUCCUAGCAUUCCAGGUUCCUUAAACUUUGUUUUCCUCGGGUAAAAUCGAUUGACAUGUAUUUGCUGACUUUGGUGUUAAAUUACUGCUAAAAUUUUGGUCGAAUCUUCCUCUCUCUGGCUUGAUUGAUUGUUUACUCUAAGUGAAGAAUUAGUUUGAUUGGAUCAACCAAGCUCUAUUGACUCUUGAACAUCUGGAAAUCUGUUGGGAUAUUUCUCCUUCGUAGCAUUUUGUUGGUUUCACCUCUCAAUUUAUUUUUGUUAUAUUGAGUAUUUAAUUGGACCAAUGACUGAUCAUAAUUUGGUAACUCAAAGGUCUGAAGUUCUUGGUGCUUCUAGUCCAUCAUCUGACAAAAUGAAUUUGGUUUCGGUUAAGGAGUUUGCUAAUUUCUGUCGAUAUCAAAAAUCCACUUCAGUUACUGCUUUUGCUAAGUCUGACAAAGUAUGUCUUGUUACCGCUUCAAAUAAAUGGGUCAUUGAUUCAGGUGCUACAAAUCACAUGACAGGUAAUCCUAGUAUCUUUUCAAGCUUUCAACCACACAAAGCACCAUCUCCCGUUACUGUAGCCGACGGUUCAACUUGUAACAGUGUUGGGUCUGGAACUGUUAAACCAACCUCCUCUAUUACCUUGUCAUCUGUGUUAAGUCUACCAAAAUUGGCUUUCAAUUUGAUAUCUGUCAGUAAACUUACCAGAGACCUUAAUUGUUAUAUCUCAUUCUUUCCCGAUCAUUGUCUGUUUCGUGAUCUUACAACGAAUCAGGUAAUUGGAAAAGGACAUUUAUAUGAUGAUCUCUACAUCCUCGAUGAAUGGGAGUCUCGAUCUAUUGCCUGCUCUAGUGUUGUAUCUCCAUUUGAAGCACAUUGUCGAUUGGGACAUCCUUCUCUACCUCUAUUGAAGAAGCUUUGUCCACAAUUUCAGAAUAUUUCUUCCUUGGACUGUGAGUCAUGUCGAUUUGCAAAACACCAUCGUAUCUCGUUAGGUCCAAGGAUUAAUAAUCGAGUUGCAUCAUCUUUUGAGUUAGUUCAUUCUGAUGUAUGGGGACCAUGUCCAGUUGUUUCUAAAACAGGGCAUAAAUAUUUUGUCACUUUUGUAGAUGAUUUUUCUCGAAUGACUUGGAUUUACUUUAUGAAGAGUCGAUCUGAAGUGUUUACUCAUUUUUCUGCCUUUUGUGCUGAAAUCAAAACUCAGUUCAAUGCCUCAAUUCGUAUUCUAAGGAGCGAUAAUGCUAAAGAAUAUAUGUCAGAAGUAUUUAGAUCAUACAUGAGACAAAACGGUAUUCUCCAUCAGUCCUCAUGUGUUGAUACACCCUCUCAAAAUGGAGUUGCUGAGAGGAAGAAUAGGCAUCUGCUUGAGACAGCUCGAGCGCUUUUGUUCCAAAUGAAGGUUCCUAAACAAUUUUGGGCUGAUGCGGUCUCUACUGCUUGUUUUUUGAUAAAUCGCAUGCCAUCAACUGUGCUUGCUGGUAAUGUGCCUUAUAAUGUUCUCUUUCCAAAUAAGUCACUAUUUCCAGUGGAACCUAAGGUAUUUGGAAGCACAUGUUAUGUUCGAGACAUUCGACCAUCUGUUACAAAGUUGGACCCCAAGGCAUUGAAGUGUGUUUUCUUGGGUUAUUCUCGCCUUCAAAAGGGAUAUCGGUGUUAUUCUACUACGCUUGGUAGAUAUUUGGUGUCAAUUGAUGUGGUAUUUUCUGAGACUACACCAUUCUUCUAUGCACCUCCCAAUUCUACAAGUCAGGGGGAGGAAGAAGAGUGGUUAGUCUACCAGGUUACUCGUGUUGUGACAGAAAAGUCAGAAGAUGUUGUUCCCUAUCCUAGUCCUUCUGUUGAGCACCAAUCCACUAUUGUGCCAUCAGCCCCUAUUGUAUCUGUGCCAACAAGACGUUGCUCUUCGAAAAGGUACACGUCAGUGUAAAUCCACAUAUUCCAUUGCUAACUUUGUCUCUUAUGACCACUUAUCAGCUGCAUCUAGUUGUAUGAUUGCCUCUCUAGACUCUAUCUCUAUUCCCAAAACAGUGAAGGAUGCCUUGAACCAUCCUGGAUGGCAUGAUGCAAUGCUUGAGGAGAUACAUGCUUUAGAUGAAAAUCACACUUGGGAUUUGGUAGAUUUACCCAAAGGAAAGAAAGCAGUUGGAUGCAAAUGGAUCUUCGCGGUCAAAGUUAAUCCCGAUGGCUCUGUUGCAAGACUUAAGGCCAGACUUGUGGCUAAAGGCUAUGCCCAGACUUAUGGUGUAGAUUAUUCUGACACCUUCUCCCCGGUAGCCAAGCUCACCUCUGUUCGCUUGUUUAUUUCCUUGGCUGCCUCUAAGCAUUGGCCCUUACAUCAGUUGGAUAUCAAAAAUGCAUUUCUUCAUGGUGAUCUCAAUGAAGAAGUGUAUAUGGAGCAACCACCUGGAUUUGUUGCUCAGGGGGAGUAUGGGAAAGUUUGUCAUCUGAGAAAAUCUCUAUAUGGUCUAAAGCAAAGUCCUCGUGCUUGGUUUGGAAAAUUUAGCGAUGUAGUUCAGGAAUUUGGAUUGAAGAAGAGCAAGUGCGAUCACUCAGUUUUCUAUAGACAGUCAACAGUUGGUAUUAUUCUUUUAGUUGUUUAUGUUGACGAUAUUGUUAUUACAGGAGAUGAUUGUGCAGGAAUUUCUUCUCUGAAAGAGUUUUUACAUGCCAAAUUUCAUACUAAAGAUUUGGGGCAACUGAAAUACUUCUUGGGUGUUGAAGUAGCAAGAAGCAAGAAAGGAAUUUUCUUGUCCCAAAGAAAGUAUGUACUUGAUCUACUUGCAGAAACUGGAAAAUUGGGAGCCAAACCAUGUUGCACACCAAUGGUUCCUAAUGUUCAUCUUACUAAGGAUGAUGGUGAUCCUCUUGAUGAUCCAGAAAGAUAUAGGAAAUUGGUUGGGAAAUUGAACUACCUCACAGUGACCCGUCCAGAUAUUGCAUAUGCAGUCAGUAUUGUUAGUCAAUUUAUGUCUGCACCGACAAUCAAACAUUGGGCAGCCUUGGAACAAAUCUUGUGCUACUUGAAAGGAGCACCUGGCCUUGGCAUUUUGUAUAGCGACCACAGACAUACUCGUAUUGAGUGUUUUGCAGAUGCUGAUUGGGCUGGAUCAAGAAUUGAUAGAAGAUCUACUACUGGCUAUUGCGUUUUUAUUGGUGGAAAUUUGGUAUCUUGGAGGAGUAAGAAACAAACUGUUGUAUCUCGAUCUAGUGCAGAAUCUGAGUAUAGAGCUAUGGCUCAAUCCACAUGUGAAAUACUAUGGAUUCAUCACCUUUUAGUUGAGAUCGGUUUGAACCCUUUGUCUCCAGCAAAACUUUGGUGUGAUAAUCAGGCAGCUCUACACAUUGCCUCAAAUCCAGUGUACCAUGAACGGACGAAACACAUUGAGGUUGACUGUCACUUUGUUCGUGAAAAGAUUCAAGAGAACAUGAUUUCUACUGGAUAUGUAAAGACAGGAGAGCAAUUGGGUGAUAUAUUUACGAAGGCUUUAAAUGGAACUCGGGUGGGAUAUCUUUGUAACAAGUUGGGCAUGAUUAAUAUCUAUGCUCCAACUUGAGGGGGAGUGUUAGAAUGUACAUAGACAUAUUUUCCUAUAGAAUACAUAGCACAAUCUCAACACAAUCAUAGAUAGAGAUAUUUAGGGAUUUUCUGAUUUUGUUUUCCUUAGAUAGAUUAUCUGUUUUCCUUAGAUAGAUUAUAUGUACACCUACAAAUAGCUCUCCUUUUUGGAUUAAUAGAAUAAGCAAGAUUGCUCCAUUCUCUCUGUAUUUUACAUCAAAUACCGCCCUCUUCAAAAAAUCUUUGUCCUCGAGGAUUAAAUGGUGUGGUCAGCAUUACAUUAUGGGUAACCGAAGGCGAAUAUUACUUUACCGAAUAAGUCAAACCAAGAUCUAGGGGAUUGCUUCAGUCCAUACAAGGAUUUCUUCCGUCUGGAUACCUUUCCUUGACUUUGUUCAGAAUAAAAUCCAGGAGGAAUCUCCAUGUACACCACUUCUUUUAAGUUUCCAUGAAAUGCAUUUUUCACAUCAGACUAUUGUAAGUCUCAAUCUAGAUUUGUAUAAUCGUAGGAGGAAACCUGAUCACUUGAAGAAGCACAGAGCAAAGUCUAGUUGCUAGAACAAGUGCCAAGGCAGAAUAUAGAGCUACAACGAAGGGUGUUUGCUGACUUUUUUUGUUACAAAAGCUACUAGAGGAAUUGAGAUUGUCUGAAAAGGGAAUAUGUUUCUUUGUAUUGUGACAGCAAGGCUCCAAUCAGUAUAGCUCAUAAUACAGUCCAGCAUGAUCAAACAAAGCAUGAAAUUGAUUGACACUUCAAGAAAAAGUUAUGAGUGGUGUCUUGAGUUUAUUCCAUGUGUCACUCUGUAAAGCAGCUAGUUGAUGUGUCUGCCAAAGGCCUCAACUAACGCACUUUCCAUACACUAGUUUACAAGUUGAGCAUGUGAGACAUCUUUGCACCAAUUUGAGGAGAGUGUUGAUUGAUUGAUUAGUGAUUUCCAAGCUUAAUUACAGAAGUUGAUUAAUAUUGUAAAUAUAAUUGAUUGUGCAAUAUUGUCUUUCCUUAUUUAGGCUUAGGACUCAUAGUAUAAGUACCCAUUCUCAUGAAUGUAACAUCAUUGAGAAAUACAAAGAAGCCUUUUCUUCUUGAAAUCUUCACAAACACUCCAAAUCAUUUUGUAGCUCCAGUAAUGCUCCAAAAAUAUUUAGAAGUGUCAUUAGGAUUGCAAUUAACCCGAAUUGAAUAUAGAACUUUUACAAGGCUUUACAAAUUUCUCCCCACCAGGUCCUAUUUCAUUGGCAGACGUUAGUUAUAGCAUUGAAAUUGCUAAAUGCUAACUGAUUCCACUCCAAUUACAUAAUCAAAGUAUUCUGGGUCCCAUCAAUGACCAAGUAGGAAUUUAAAUUUUUUCAUAAUAUUUUCACAUCAACUUUAGGCCAAUUUGUCGCUGCAUACUAUAAAAUGACAGAUAAAGACCACAUACAUGGCUUUCAGGGCAAAAGUUAUAUGGAACGAUAUGAAGAUCCAGGCUUUCACAUUACACAAAGAAAGAAACAGAUUCUUCACAUGAUAGGUACGACAAACUGCUUUAGAUAUUCAAAGAUAGAACUAUCAAAAUCACAGCUGUUUCAUGAUACAGUGAACAACUUAUAAGAAACAAGAAAAUCCUCACCUGUUGAUGAAUAUUUUUUCAGAGCUUUCUGGGCAUCCUUUGACAAACCUGUUAAAAUGGAGGCGCAAGACAAGGAAGUCAGGCUCAACAUAAUUAUUUCCAGAGAACAAAAUAAUCCUCCCAAAGUCUAAUUUAACAAAAAUAUGUACCCCUAGCAUUGAAUAUAACUUCCUUCGGUGACACCUACACAUGCAACAGAGAGCAACAUACAAUUAUCAACCAAACAAAUCACACAUAUAUUAAGUUACUCAAGAAAUAUAUUAGAUCUUUAAGUGUCGUACUUGCAUCAGCAAAGCCCCCAAAGCUGCACAAGAUGCAUCAUCGUCGAUGGAACCAACCCAAACUUUCAGAGCAGCACAAUCGACAAAAGCAAAUCCAAUAGUGGUUGAACCAUUCCCCAGCUCAUUGCAAGUCUAUGUCAUAGUGAAAGAAGAACAUUAAAUCAUCUGCCUCAGUUGAAGCCCCACGCUGUAACACAAGGAUAACCAUAUGGACAUCAAAAGAUUUUAAAGCUUUCUUUUGAUCAUUUUGCCAGAGAAAGAAAACAACAUAAGAUUGCACAAAGAUUUACUCUGCACUUACAAUAGAUAACUCUACUGCCAUGUAGAAUUAACAGACUCUAUCAUGUCAAUGUCAAUUUUAUUUAAAAAGAUGCUGACCUCCUUGACGGCAAGAAGAUGAACUGCAUCAGGCCCAAUAUUACCCUCACUUGUCGUAGAAGGGGUGAGUACAUGAACUAGUUUUCUACGAAUAACCUGAAACCGAUAUUUCUCAUUAUCAAAUCACUCAAUGCCAUGAUGAACAAAGAGCAGUUUAGUGCUCAUAGGAGAAACAGAAGAAAUUAUGAGCGCUAAACGAAAAGAUCCAUAAAACUAUAAAAAUACAGAAAUUUUUUAUGCAUUAAUUGCUUCAAUGUAUCUUCUGUUGCUUUGUUAUCACAUUUAGAACAGUUAAAGGACUAUCACCAACCUCACUGCCCCAAGCAUUAUAAAUAUUUUUAAGAACUACGUAAACCCAAUGAAUUCAUGCUGCACUUACAGAAGUAGAGCCUCUAGAUUUUGCUUGCUCGGAUGUUUCCAACUGUUCCAUCCGUCCAACUUUGUACCUUCAAAUUUGUUAGAUAAACUCAACAUAAAUGACAAGAUACCAUCAGAUGAGAAUAAGACACUAAAUAAGAAAUUAUCAACAGGGGGGUCAAUUCCAUUAUCAAUCUAUUCCAUCUUUCUCUAACUUUCCGCGCAACUUUUUUCUGUCUCUAAAGACUUUCUCACUUUCUAGAUUUCUUAGCUUUCUGUGAUGGAGAUGAUCAGAUGACCAGGUUCCCAUUGAUGAAUCUCGACCGGAGACCAAGAGAGAGGGCGCAUCUGGGCUGGGAUGUUCUCCCCGAGUAACCUAAGGUAUUACAUCUAUCUUCAAAUGCGAUCUGUUUAUUAUAUCUUUUUCCCCGCUUUGGCAUUGCUAGAUCUGAUUAAGGUUAGGUUGUUUUUCGCACCAGGUAUGAUAGAGACUCAACUUUUUAUGUAUUCUAUAUAGUAUCUUGAUUAAAUCUAUUGUGUUCUUACUAUAAUCAUAUGGUACUUUUAGCUGGGUUUUUGUAUUUCAGUGUUCGAUUUUUAUUUCUUCAGCAUGAGAAAAAAAAUUACUAUAUUUUAUCGGAUCUUUCUUUUUCUUUUUUGAUCAUCGCUUUAUAAUUAGAUCCGACAUGAAUGAUCUGUUUUCGAAAUUUUGUGAUUAAUUAUGAUGCGUCAAUUAGAUCAAAUUGGCUUUUUUUUACCAAAAUUUUAUGUGGAAAUAUGUCAUAAUGUCAAUACUCAAUUGAAAAGCUCUCAUGGAUUUGAUUGCAAAUUCAAAAAGGGGGUGGUCAAUAUUGAUUGUGCUUCUAAGAUGGUUUUUAUUUGAAGGAGACGUUUUUAAUCCUGUUCUGUAAACUCACCUGAUAAAUCAUAGUUGUGUUAACAACUGUUUCCCAAUUGGCCAAAACUCUCUCCAAUGCUAGGACAAAAAUAAUCAUCCAGAACCAGUUCGUGCAGAAGUCAUCGGCAGGGAUAGUUUCGAGCUCUGUCCAGGUUAUAUCUUCCAAUUUACCCUGUCUUUUAGUUCUUGUUCUGCCUAUUCAGUUCUUGACUUAGCCUCUAUUUAUUUAGUUCUUGAUUUAGCCUCUAUUUAUUUAGUUCUUGCUUUAGCCUCUAUUUUUAGUUCUUGGGCCUUUGUUUUCUAGUUCUUGUUCAGCCUCCUGUUUGAUGUUCUUGUUCAACCUAUUUAAUUCUUGAUUUAGAGCCUCUUUGGAUUGGCUUAUGCCACAUGUUCCUCACCCUUUUUGGCCUCAGAUGGUAAUGCCUAACACUAUCAGGGAAGUUUUUGAAUACUGGAGCCACUGGAAUGUUGACAGCACCAUCAAAAAGAUUUGGAAGAUGACACCAGCUGCCAUCUUUUGGACUAUCUAGAAUGAAAGAAAUAGAAGAUGUUUUGAUGGCCUCUCAACUAGACAAUCUAUGCUCAAAGCUAAAUGUCUUUUGUAUUUAUAUAGUUGGGUUUUUGGUCCCCAAUGGAUUCCCCUGAUAGCUUUUUAGAUUUUGUUUGCUCUAUGAUAGUGUACUAGAGAUAACAUACAACUGCUCACUCUUUUGUAACUACUUUGCAUCUUCUUGAUGCCAUGAAUGGAAUCAAUUACUUCAUCUAAAAAGUGUUUUUAAGCCAAAAUAGGUUUUAAGCAUUUUUGGAGUGUUUGGGUAAAUUAAAAAAUGGCUUAUAAGCACUUGAUAUUAAGCUAAAAUGAUAAAAAUAAACCAAAAGUCAUAAGUUAGAAAUUCAACCUUAUGACUUUCGUCUUAUAAGUCAAAAAUUAAAAGUCAAUCCAAACUUGCUCUUAGCCACUGCUUUUUAGUUCUUGUCCUUCUUAUGUAGUUCUUGAUUUAGCCUCUAUUUUUAAUUAUUGUGCAGCCUUUAUUUUCUAGCUCAAUUUAUCUUAUGUCUUGUUCAGCCUUUGUUUUUAGUUCUUGAUUUAGACUAUUUAUUCCAGAAUUUUAGUACCUAUGUUAGUGGCUUCGGGGUUUGAUGGUAGUUUCCAAGUCCUUGGUUGGGGGUGGGAGCAAGGAUACCAAGGGAGCUUUUAGGUUGAAAGUUUGGUCUUGGAACAUAGGGACUGUAACACCUCGCAAAUUCAACUCUAAGGAUCCAAACCAUUCGUCGUAAGUGUAUCAACUUGGGCCAGAUGAUAUGCUACUUGUACACAUGUGUUAAGGUCCAUUCUUAAGUGUGAAAAGUAUAUCGGAUGUGGUUGAAGGUCAUAAAGGACCUUCAGUACUAAGUCGAGUUCAAAACCUUCCUAUCGGCUAAGUUUUUGGGCAUCAGAGAUUUGAGGAAGCAUAACAACAGUCUUUUGAUGAAAUGGUUGUGGAGAUACACUGAGGAGAGGCAAGCUUUGUGGAAAGAUUUGAUUAAAUGUAAAUAUGGGGAGGAUGGAUUCUGGUGUAGUAACAUAAGCACGGAUGCUUAUGGAGCGGGGGUUUGGAGAGCUAUUAGGAAACUUAUGGCCCAAGUUAGAAGCAAAUUUACAUAUCAAGGUGGGGGAUGGAAGGAGAACUAGAUUCUGGUGGGAUGUAUGGAUCAAACAAACCCCUCUAAAAAGACAUGUUUCCUGACCUAUUUAUUUUGUGCACCAAUUCCGAGGCAAUGAUCAGUGAUUGCUGGACAGAACAAGGUUGGAAUCUCUAUUUCAGAAGACUUCUAAAUGAUUGGGAAAUAGAGAGAGUAGCCAAAUUGUUGGAGGAAGUGGGGGAUUUUGCAGGCACCAAUACUGACAAUGAUGUUGUUAGAUGGUCACACAGUAAGGAUGGGAUCUUCACAGUUGGCAGGGCAUAUAAAAAGGAGUGCAACUCGCAAAGUAGCAGAUACCAGAGUUCAUGGAAAAAUAUCUGGAGGACUGCAGCACCAACAAAAGUUAAAUGCUUUACUUGGCUGGUCAUUAGAAAGGCAUGCUUGACACAUGAAGUCUUGAGGAAGAAAAGAAAGAUCAUACUUCCGUGGUGCUCUUUAUGUGGAAAGACGGGGGAAACUAACAGUCACCUAUUCUUACAUUGUACUUUCACAGCACAAAUAUGGUCCAUGUUUCUCAACUUUUCAGAAGUGAAAUGGANNNNNNNNNNNNNNNNNNNNNNNNNNNNNNNNNNNNNNNNNNNNNNNNNNNNNNNNNNNNNNNNNNNNNNNNNNNNNNNNNNNNNNNNNNNNNNNNNNNNNNNNNNNNNNNNNNNNNNNNNNNNNNNNNNNNUGAUUCCACAUUGCAUUUGGUGGACAGUGUGGAAGGAGAGGAAUAGUAGGAAUUUUGAAGAUAUAUCCAAUUCCAUUCAACCUUGUUGAAUGGAAUUGCAUUGUAUCUCUAUAUUUUUGGUGUAAAGAGAUAGGAUUAGAGGAUUCAGAUCAACUUUUAAAACUCUUAGGAUCCUUGUAAGUAUUAUGCUUUUUGUUCUUUACUGAUAUUUUAAAGGUCCCCAGGUAAUGCUGAAGAAUACAAUGUUUACCAAUUCUCAAAACUUCAAACGAUGACAUCUCUGUUAGGUGGCUCACGACCUAACAAAUUAAAGGUCUAUGAGUCUUCUUUCCAAAGCCACCAACCAUUCGUGAAUCCGAGUCCGGAGUAAAAAGUUAUGACUGAUUACUAGAGAUGUUCCAAUCUGGCAGUGAGUGACGGUCCGUCACAAGUGUGAUGACCCGUCAUAAGUGGGCUUCACACUUAACUAGUGAGCUCAUUUUUUUGGCUUAGUUAUGACGGCCCGUCACCCAAGCGACGGCCUAUCACUCAGAUGACGGUAGGGCGUGAAAUUUCAUCGAUUUUGUGUUAGAGGAGGGUAUUUUUAUCCUAAAACCUUUGGGGAAGUUAUCUAAAUGACCUUACAACAUCUUAGGACGGUUAGACAAUCAGUUUUCAUCAUUGAAACCCUUUCAUUCUCUCCCCAAACAUCAACACUCAAGAAUUUUCAAGAAACACCAAGUUAGGGUUCCUCUUCCAAGGUUCUUCAUCUAGCUUUGUCACUAAGGUAUGUAAGGAUAGUAUAUUGAGAAACUAAGUUCUUCCUCAUGCCCUACAUCUAUAAUCUAAGUAAGUAGAUCAAAGUUAAGGUUUCACCCCAAAGUUCAUGAUUUUUGAAUUCUUUUAUUUCGAAUAUGCUCAUUGUUGAUUCUAUUAUUGAGCAUAUGGAUGUGGUAUCUGGAGAUCAAUAAGAAAUCUUUGGCCUCUGUUUCUUUCUAGAAUCAGAUUCCAGGUGGGUAAUGGAAUGAAGGUGUCAUUUUGGGAGGACAGAUGGAUAGCCCAAAGAACCUUGAAACAAUUAUUUCCAGACUUAUAUACACUAAGCCUUCAACAAAAUGCAACUGUGGCUGAAAUGUGGACAGGACAGGGGUGGAACUUACAUCUUAGGAGGAAUCUAAAUGAUUGGGAGAUGGGGAACAUAGUGGCCUUCCAUGAUACACUGGCACAAUUUAGCAAUUUGACUAGGGAAGAAGACAAGGUUGUGUGGAAGAUUGGUAGCAAAGGGGUUUUCAGUGUCAAGUCAGCUUACAAAGAUCUUAAUCAAUCAAAUUCAAAUGAUAGGAUGGAGCUAUGGCCAUGGCGGAUGAUAUGGAGAACUAAAAUCCCAAACAAGGUAAACUGUUUCACAUGGUUACUAGCAAAGGAAGCAGUGCUGACACAAGAGAAUAUAAAGAAGAGGAAGUUCCAACUAUGCUCAAGAUGCUAUUUGUGUGAGGAACAGGAAGAGACAGUCAACCAUCUCUUUUUGAAUUGCAAAUGGACAGAUCAAUUAUGGAGAAUAUUCAGCAGCCUUAGAAAGAUCACUUGGGUGAAACCAAGAAACAUAGUACAACUCCUAAAUUGUUGGAUCAAUAUUGGCAAUACUACAAUUAAGGAGGAGAGAUGGAGGAUUGUCCCAACUUGUAUAUGGUGGACAGUGUGGAAAGAAAGGAAUCAAAGAUGUUUUGAGGGCAAGAAGAACAAUGUGCAGAAUUUCAAGAUGAAUUGUAUAGCUCUUUAUUAUUUUUGGUGUAAACAGAAAGUCUUAGUACAGGCAGAAGAACUUUUUGAUGUUUUAGACUAUUUGUGACAAAAAGCACAGAUGGAGUCAGUCUAGUUUGUAAUACUUUUUGGAAG
rnacentral:lncRNA from 1 species